rnacentral:snRNA from 1 species
GUGCUCGCUUCAGCAGCACAUAUACUAUGUGGAACAAUAUGGAGUUGAGCAUGGCACAAGGAUGACAUGCAAAUUCAUGAAACAGUUCUGAACUUU